rnacentral:rRNA from 1 species
GACGUAGGGCGCGAGCGUUGUCCGGAUUUAUUGGGCGUAAAGAGCGUGUAGGCGGCUUUACAGGUCCGUUGUGAAAACUCGAGGCUCAACCUCGAGACGCCGGUGGAAACCGUAAGGCUAGAGUCCGGAAGAGGAGAGUGGAAUUCCUGGUGUAGCGGUGAAAUGCGCAGAUAUCAGGAGGAACACCCGUGGCGAAAGCGGCUCUCUGGGACGGUACUGACGCUGAGACGCGAAAGCGUGGGGAGCAAACGGG